CACUGCAGAGUGAAGGCUCUUCAAUUUCCAAAUCUCCAUCUUCACCUAUUUAGGAUGAGGCACAAUGAUGAUGAAGAGAAGCAGGGUCAUCUCUACUUGUCAAAAAAGUGAACUCUUAAGAUCUUGACUUUGGUCACAUGUCCAGCAGAAGGUGGGGUAUGUGACACCCCGGAGGCUGUGGAACAGCCCUGGAAAAUGGAAGCAAAUGACUGUCUGACAUUUAUCGCUUCAAGUCCUAGAAAUAUCACUGCUUCCCCAUCUUCAAACACUGAGUUCACUGUCAAAAGCC